UUUUGUGGUACUCUACUCCAGAGAGCAGCAAUCACGUAUAAUUAGAUGUGAUUGAUACCUCUGUGAGUAGAGUAAUACAUGA
rnacentral:pre_miRNA from 1 species